UAGAGUUUGAUCCUGGCUCAGAACGAACGCUGGCGGCAGGCUUAACACAUGCAAGUCGAACGAUCCCUUCGGGGAUAGUGGCAGACGGGUGAGUAACGCGUGGGAACCUACCUUUAGGUACGGAACAACAGUUGGAAACGACUGCUAAUACCGUAUGAGCCCUAUGGGGGAAAGAUUUAUCGCCUAAGGAUGGGCCCGCGUUGGAUUAGCUAGUUGGUGGGGUAAUGGCCUACCAAGGCGACGAUCCAUAGCUGGUCUGAGAGGAUGAUCAGCCACACUGGGACUGAGACACGGCCCAGACUCCUACGGGAGGCAGCAGUGGGGAAUAUUGGACAAUGGGGGCAAGCCCUGAUCCAGCCAUGCCGCGUGAGUGAUGAAGGCCCUAGGGUUGUAAAGCUCUUUCAGC
rnacentral:rRNA from 2 species